GUGCCUCUGUGGCAUGCGCCAGUAGCCGGGUAUUAUCCUUGAGCCUAAUUUUAACCCCGGGGAUCUGGUUUCGAAACUGGUGUGCGUUACCGCAUUGACGGGAGGCCUAAAGGUUUCGACAGGAACCCCACUUGAACCUUUUGGUUCAAGGUCGAACGCCGCAGCGGUGCGAUGGAGUCACC
rnacentral:other from 1 species